rnacentral:rRNA from 1 species
AUUGAACGCUGGCGGCAGGCUUAACACAUGCAAGUCGAGCGGGGUGAUGGUGCUUGCACUAUCACUUAGCGGCGGACGGGUGAGUAAUGCUUAGGAAUCUGCCUAUUAGUGGGGGACAACAUUUCGAAAGGAAUGCUAAUACCGCAUACGUCCUACGGGAGAAAGCAGGGGAUCUUCGGACCUUGCGCUAAUAGAUGAGCCUAAGUCGGAUUAGCUAGUUGGUGGGGUAAAGGCCUACCAAGGCGACGAUCUGUAGCGGGUCUGAGAGGAUGAUCCGCCACACUGGGACUGAGACACGGCCCAGACUCCUACGGGAGGCAGCAGUGGGGAAUAUUGGACAAUGGGCGCAAGCCUGAUCCAGCCAUGCCGCGUGUGUGAAGAAGGCCUUAUGGUUGUAAAGCACUUUAAGCGAGGAGGAGGCUACUUUAGUUAAUACCUAGAGAUAGUGGACGUUACUCGCAGAAUAAGCACCGGCUAACUCUGUGCCAGCAGCCGCGGUAAUACAGAGGGUGCAAGCGUUAAUCGGAUUUACUGGGCGUAAAGCGCGCGUAGGCGGCUAAUUAAGUCAAAUGUGAAAUCCCCGAGCUUAACUUGGGAAUUGCAUUCGAUACUGGUUAGCUAGAGUGUGGGAGAGGAUGGUAGAAUUCCAGGUGUAGCGGUGAAAUGCGUAGAGAUCUGGAGGAAUACCGAUGGCGAAGGCAGCCAUCUGGCCUAACACUGACGCUGAGGUGCGAAAGCAUGGGGAGCAAACAGGAUUAGAUACCCUGGUAGUCCAUGCCGUAAACGAUGUCUACUAGCCGUUGGGGCCUUUGAGGCUUUAGUGGCGCAGCUAACGCGAUAAGUAGACCGCCUGGGGAGCACGGUCGCAAGACUAAAACUCAAAUGAAUUGACGGGGGCCCGCACAAGCGGUGGAGCAUGUGGUUUAGUUCGAUGCAACGCGAAGAACCUUACCUGGCCUUGACAUAGUAAGAACUUUCCAGAGAUGGAUUGGUGCCUUCGGGAACUUACAUACAGGUGCUGCAUGGCUGUCGUCAGCUCGUGUCGUGAGAUGUUGGGUUAAGUCCCGCAACGAGCGCAACCCUUUUCCUUAUUUGCCAGCGAGUAAUGUCGGGAACUUUAAGGAUACUGCCAGUGACAAACUGGAGGAAGGCGGGGACGACGUCAAGUCAUCAUGGCCCUUACGGCCAGGGCUACACACGUGCUACAAUGGUCGAUACAAAGGGUUGCUACCUAGCGAUAGGAUGCUAAUCUCAAAAAGCCGAUCGUAGUCCGGAUUGGAGUCUGCAACUCGACUCCAUGAAGUCGGAAUCGCUAGUAAUCGCGGAUCAGAAUGCCGCGGUGAAUACGUUCCCGGGCCU